AAUAUUUUUGUUCUACUAAGUAGUAGUGUUAAAACAAAAUUCUUUUUGGCCUCUUAUCCUAUAUUGCCCGCUUAUAGACCUUAGGACUGCUUUAUAACCUUAGCCUUCUAACUUAACACUUGGGUUUUUAGGUUGGGCUUCUAAUAUAGUAUCAAAUCCUAGUCUCUAUCCUUUGAGUUGUUUCUCACAGGCUUAUAUGGAGUGGGCUGUUAAAACAAAAAUAUUCUUAGCCACUUAUACCUCAUCA
rnacentral:misc_RNA from 1 species